AGAGUUUGAUCAUGGCUCAGGAUGAACGCUGGCGGUAUGCUUAACACAUGCAAGUCGAACGGUCUCUUCGGAGAUAGUGGCGGACGGGUGAGUAACGCGUGAGAAUCUAGCUUCAGGUCGGGGACAACCAUUGGAAACGGUGGCUAAUACCGGAUGUGCCGAAAGGUAAAAGGCUUGCUGCCUGAAGAUGAGCUCGCGUCUGAUUAGCUAGUAGGUGUGGUAAGAGCGCACCUAGGCGACGAUCAGUAGCUGGUCUGAGAGGAUGAUCAGCCACACUGGGACUGAGACACGGCCCAGACUCCUACGGGAGGCAGCAGUGGGGAAUUUUCCGCAAUGGGCGAAAGCCUGACGGAGCAAUACCGCGUGAGGGAGGAAGGCUCUUGGGUUGUAAACCUCUUUUCUCAGGGAAGAAAAAAAUGACGGUACCUGAGGAAUCAGCAUCGGCUAACUCCGUGCCAGCAGCCGCGGUAAUACGGAGGAUGCAAGCGUUAUCCGGAAUGAUUGGGCGUAAAGCGUCCGCAGGUGGCUAUGUAAGUCUGCUGUUAAAGAGCAAGGCUCAACCUUGUAAAAGCAGUGGAAACUACAUGGCUAGAGUGCGUUCGGGGCAGAGGGAAUUCCUGGUGUAGCGGUGAAAUGCGUAGAGAUCAGGAAGAACACCGGUGGCGAAAGCGCUCUGCUAGGCCGCAACUGACACUGAGGGACGAAAGCUAGGGGAGCGAAUGGGAUUAGAUACCCUAGUAGUCC
rnacentral:rRNA from 1 species